rnacentral:lncRNA from 1 species
UGCACAUAACUGAUACUGUUUACAAAUGCACUUUGGCUAGCAAGAAAACCUAAAAACUUGCGGUGGAGGCCACUACGAAAGUUAUCAAGAUUGCUGCGGGCUCACUUCAGUGGUCGCAGGCACAUCAACAUAAAAUGUGCUGAAAAGUUCAGAUAUGC